rnacentral:rRNA from 1 species
CACGUAGGGUGCGAGCGUUGUCCGGAAUUAUUGGGCGUAAAGAGCUCGUAGGCGGUGUGUCACGUCGGCCGUGAAAACCUGCAGCUUAACUGUGGGCGUGCGGUCGAUACGGGCAUCACUGGAGUUCGGCAGGGGAGACUGGAAUUCCUGGUGUAGCGGUGAAAUGCGCAGAUAUCAGGAGGAACACCGGUGGCGAAGGCGGGAUCCUGGGCCAGUACUGACGCUGAGGAGCGAAAGCGUGGGGAGCAAACAGG